CCAAUCGAUAGUGUGAAAUGGUUAGCAUUAACUCCUAUAAAGGGUGAAAUGCGGGUUCAAAUCCCGUUCGGCGUCUGGA